AUUGAACGCUAGCGGGAUGCUUUACACAUGCAAGUCGAACGGCAGCGCGGACUUCGGUCUGGCGGCGAGUGGCGAACGGGUGAGUAAUGUAUCGGAACGUGCCCAGUAGCGGGGGAUAACUACGCGAAAGCGUAGCUAAUACCGCAUACGCCCUACGGGGAAAGCAGGGGAUCCUAAGACCUUGCACUAUUUGGGCGGCCGAUAUCGGAUUAGCUAGUUGGUGAGGUAACGGCUCACCAAGGCGACGAUCCGUAGCUGGUUUGAGAGGACGACCAGCCACACUGGGACUGAGACACGGCCCAGACUCCUACGGGAGGCAGCAGUGGGGAAUUUUGGACAAUGGGGGCAACCCUGAUCCAGCCAUCCCGCGUGUGCGAUGAAGGCCUUCGGGUUGUAAAGCACUUUUGGCAGGAAAGAAACGUCGCGGGCUAAUACCCCGUGGAACUGACGGUACCUGCAGAAUAAGCACCGGCUAACUACGUG
rnacentral:rRNA from 1 species